GAUGAACGCUGGCGGCGUGCCUAAUACAUGCAAGUCGAGCGAAUGGAUUAAGAGCUUACUCUUAUGAAGUUAGCGGCGGACGGGUGAGUAACACGUGGGUAACCUGCCCAUAAGACUGGGAUAACUCCGGGAAACCGGGGCUAAUACCGGAUAACAUUUUGAACCGCAUGGUUCGAAAUUGAAAGGCGGCUUCGGCUGUCACUUAUGGAUGGACCCGCGUCGCAUUAGCUAGUUGGUGAGGUAACGGCUCACCAAGGCAACGAUGCGUAGCCGACCUGAGAGGGUGAUCGGCCACACUGGGACUGAGCAACGGCCCAGACUCCUACGGGAGGCAGCAGUAGGGAAUCUUCCGCAAUGGACGAAAGUCUGACGGAGCAACGCCGCGUGAGUGAUGAAGGCUUUCGGGUCGUAAAACUCUGUUGUUAGGGAAGAACAAGUGCUAGUUGAAUAAGCUGGCACCUUGACGGUACCUAACCAGAAAGCCACGGCUAACUACGUGCCAGCCGCCGCCGUAA
rnacentral:rRNA from 1 species